AAAGUGGCUACGUAAGUUAUGGUUUUCAUUGCAGUCAAACUUGUGGUCAUUGUGCCAAGAUCUUCAGUAUUGCAAUAUUGAUGCACCAUCUCCACCAGAGAUUGAAUAUGUAAACGAAUGAUUUGUUAAAGUAUCUUUUCCAAUCCUAGAAGAAUACAGAAAAGUGAAAGAACAAUUUCGUUUUUAUAUUCAGGAUAAGGCUCAUAAGAUUCCUGAAUUUAAUUAUUGCCAUUUUGCUAAUUUACAAACAUUAGAUGCUAGUAAAAGUAAUUUGACAGCAGGAAUUUCUCCCAAAUUUAAAGGAGUUGUAGUCCUAGGAGCAGCCGUUUACAUAGAGGGAGAAUGGAAAAAUUUUACGA